CCGAGUCGCGAGGUGGAUUAUAAGCCUCGACUCCCCCACCCAUUGUGUAUCGAUUUGAAUCCUGGCCGGGAGACUGGCGGGAUCCAAUCAACUCUUUUUUCUUUGUGUCCUACGGGAACGCAAAUGAAAACCCACAAAAAAAAUUA
rnacentral:misc_RNA from 1 species